rnacentral:rRNA from 1 species
UGGGGAAUCUUGCGCAAUGGACGAAAGUCUGACGCAGCCACGCCGCGUGAGUGAAGAAGGCCUUCGGGUUGUAAAGCUCUGUCGGAGGGGACGAAAAUACUUGGGGUGAAUAGCCCCAGGGACUGACGGUACCCUCAAAGGAAGCACCGGCUAACUCCGUGCCAGCAGCCGCGGUAAUACGGAGGGUGCAAGCGUUGCUCGGAAUUAUUGGGCGUAAAGGGCAGGUAGGUGGUCCGAUUUGUCUGGGGUGAAAGCCCAGGGCUUAACCCUGGAAGUGCCCCAGAAACGGUCGGACUAGAGUGCUGGAGAGGCUAGCGGAAUACCCGGUGUAGCGGUGAAAUGCGUAGAGAUCGGGUGGAACACCAGAGGCGAAGGCGGCUAGCUGGACAGUGACUGACACUCAACUGCGAAAGCGUGGGGAGCAAACAGG